rnacentral:rRNA from 1 species
CCUUAGAGUUUGAUCCUGGCUCAAGACGAACGCUGGCGGCGUGCUUAACACAUGCAAGUCGAGCGGACUUAAUAGAAGAGAGACUUCGGUCAACCAUCUAUUAAGUUAGCGGCGGAUGGGUGAGUAACGCGUGGGAAACCUACCUUAUAGAGGGGGAUAGCCUCGAGAAAUCGGGAUUAAUACCCCAUAAUACCAAGACUUCACAUGAAAUCCUGGUCAAAGCGACUAAGCGCUGUAAGAUGGUCCCGCGUCCCAUUAGCUAGUUGGUGAGAUAAAAGCCCACCAAGGCAACGAUGGGUAGCCGACCUGAGAGGGUGAUCGGCCACACUGGGACUGAGACACGGCCCAGACUCCUACGGGAGGCAGCAGUGGGGAAUAUUGCGCAAUGGGGGGAACCCUGACGCAGCAACGCCGCGUGAGCGACGAAGGCCUUCGGGUCGUAAAGCUCUGUCUUAAGGGAUGAUAAUGACAGUACCUUAAGAGGAAGCCCCGGCUAACUACGUGCCAGCAGCCGCGGUAAUACGUAGGGGGCAAGCGUUGUCCGGAUUUACUGGGUGUAAAGGGCGCGUAGGCGGUUAUCUAAGUCAGCUGUGAAAGUCCAGGGCUUAACCCUGGAAUUGCAAUUGAAACUAAAUAACUUGAGUUAAGGAGAGGAGAGCGGAAUUCCUAGUGUAGCGGUGAAAUGCGUAGAUAUUAGGAAGAACACCAGUGGCGAAGGCGGCUCUCUGGACUUAAACUGACGCUGAGGCGCGAAAGCGUGGGUAGCGAACAGGAUUAGAUACCCUGGUAGUCCACGCCGUAAACGAUGAGUGCUAGGUGUUGGGAGUCAAAUCUCAGUGCCGGAGUUAACACAUUAAGUAUUCCGCCUGGGGAGUACGGUCGCAAGAUUGAAACUCAAAGGAAUAGACGGGGACCCGCACAAGCGGUGGAGCAUGUGGUUUAAUUCGACUCUACGCGAGAAACCUCACCAAGGCUUGACAUCUAGCUGCAAGGUCUGGAAACAGAUCCGCCUUCGAGGGUGCUAGACAGAUGCUGCAUGGUUGUCGUCAGCUCGUGUCGUGAGAUGUACCGUUAAGUCGGGAAACGAGCGCAACCCUGAUUCUAUGUUUUAUAUGUCAUAGGAGACUGCCCGUUUUAAAUGGGAGGAAGGUGGGAUGACGUCAAAUCAGCAUGGUUCUUACGCCUUGGGCAACACACGUGCUACAAUGGGAGGUACAGAGGGACGCCAAACCGCGAGGUGGAGCCAAUCCCUUAAAACCUUUCUCAGUUCGGAUUGGAGGCUGCAAUUCGCCUCCAUGAAGUUGGAAUCGCUAGUAAUCGUGGAUCAGCUAUGCCACGGUGAAUACGUUCUCGGGUCUUGUACUCACCGCCCGUCA